rnacentral:rRNA from 1 species
GACGAACGCUGGCGGCAUGCUUAACACAUGCAAGUCGAACGGAAAGGCCCUGCUUUUGUGGGGUGCUCGAGUGGCGAACGGGUGAGUAACACGUGAGUAACCUGCCCUUGACUUUGGGAUAACUUCAGGAAACUGGGGCUAAUACCGGAUAGGAGCUCCUGCUGCAUGGUGGGGGUUGGAAAGUUUCGGCGGUUGGGGAUGGACUCGCGGCUUAUCAGCUUGUUGGUGGGGUAGUGGCUUACCAAGGCUUUGACGGGUAGCCGGCCUGAGAGGGUGACCGGCCACAUUGGGACUGAGAUACGGCCCAGACUCCUACGGGAGGCAGCAGUGGGGAAUAUUGCACAAUGGGCGGAAGCCUGAUGCAGCAACGCCGCGUGCGGGAUGACGGCCUUCGGGUUGUAAACCGCUUUCGCCUGUGACGAAGCGUGAGUGACGGUAAUGUGUAAAGAAGCACCGGCUAACUACGUG